GUAAUCUUUUCAGCUUUACAUAUUGCUCCAGUUUGCAGAAGAACUUCCACAUUUGGAAGUGCCAAUUCUGACAUCCUGUUAAAAGUUUUUCAGAUACAUCCCUCAAGUUGUACAGACUUAUCAAGGACUCCAUUAGACAGGCAUACAGGUCCAUGAAGACACUAAUAUUUAAAGAGUAAUUUCAAAAUGGAUGACUUAGGUCUCAUCUUCCUGAUGCCACCCAGCUGAUCGACAGGUUACUAACUUUGUCAAAUUCUCCGCCUCGAUUGUAAGCUCAAGGUAUACAUGUUUUGAUAAUUAAUUUGAUCCCUAGACUUAUACAAGUGAGCUUUAAUCUUAUUUAGAAUGUUGGAUCAAUCUGUAUCUCAUUUUUGAACUUUUGAUCGUCAUGUAAAAUCAGUGGAGCAUUAUCGUUAUUCGUAGAUAUGAACGAAGGACUUCAGUAAUACAAUGUUUGGAAAGCUACAGUGCACAGUUGGUUUUUCCUCAUCUUAUUCACAGGCUGCUUGCGCCAAGACUGUGCCGUUCCUGGAGCGCGAUGGACUGAUUGUACAUGGCUGCUGGGUACAAUGAGCUCUUCAUCUUCCUCAUCUC